AUUGAACGCUGGCGGCAGGCCUAACACAUGCAAGUCGAGCGGAUGAAGGGAGCUUGCUCCUGGAUUCAGCGGCGGACGGGUGAGUAAUGCCUAGGAAUCUGCCUGGUAGUGGGGGAUAACGUCCGGAAACGGGCGCUAAUACCGCAUACGUCCUGAGGGAGAAAGAGGGGGAUCUUCGGACCUCACGCUAUCAGAUGAGCCUAGGUCGGAUUAGCUAGUUGGUGGGGUAAAGGCCUACCAAGGCGACGAUCCGUAACUGGUCUGAGAGGAUGAUCAGUCACACUGGAACUGAGACACGGUCCAGACUCCUACGGGAGGCAGCAGUGGGGAAUAUUGGACAAUGGGCGAAAGCCUGAUCCAGCCAUACCGCGUGUGUGAAGAAGGUCUUCGGAUUGUAAAGCACUUUAAGUUGGGAGGAAGGGCAGUAAGUUAAUACCUUGCUGUUUUGACGUUACCAACAGAAUAAGCACCGGCUAACUUCGUG
rnacentral:rRNA from 1 species